UUCACAUUGUCACUUCUUUUUACCUCUUACCCAUUUUCCCUUCUUAUCCUCACACCUUUUCUCUUCAAUCUAGAGCCCAUUAGCCAUUAUUUUAAUAAGCUCUUACACUUAAUAAUCAACUUUCACCUUGUGCUCACCUUGUAAAACAUGUACUCUAAAUUUCAUUCUUUCCCACUUAUUAAUACUUCAUUUUAUGUAUCUUUAAUAUUUCCCUAUUCCUUGGAUUAUUCCUAUCAUCCUUUAACAUGCCCAGGUGUUUCUCAUCAAACAAAGUCACCUCUUGGUAUCCCACUUUUUCCUUUAGCUAUUGCUCUAUCUAUUUCUCUUUACAAUCUGUUCUUGUGGGAGAGUUAUCUACUUUGCUAACCAAGCCCUCCACAGUUCUUGCUUCCCCAUUCACUCCUCAAUUUACUCUAAUCUGACUUAAUCCCCCUUCCCACUACUUACCUCCUUUGUCCUUAGUGUAUCAGUGAAACAGCUCCAGACAAGAUCACCAAUGUACUCAGUUGCUCAUUAAAAUAGAUAUUUUACUCAUUCUUGAUUCAAUUUUUUUUUUUUGAGACAGAA
rnacentral:lncRNA from 1 species